rnacentral:rRNA from 1 species
AGUCGCGAACGGGUGAGUAAUGCAUCGGAACGUACCCAGUUGUGGGGGAUAACCUACCGAAAGGUAGGCUAAUACCGCAUGAGCUCGGAGGAGGAAAGCGGGGGACCGCAAGGCCUCGCGCGACUGGAGCGGCCGAUGUCCGAUUAGCUAGUUGGUGAGGUAAAGGCUUACCAAGGCGACGAUCGGUAGCUGGUCUGAGAGGAUGAUCAGCCACACUGGGACUGAGACACGGCCCAGACUCCUACGGGAGGCAGCAGUGGGGAAUUUUGGACAAUGGGGGCAACCCUGAUCCAGCCAUGCCGCGUGAGUGAAGAAGGCCUUCGGGUUGUAAAGCUCUUUCGGUGGGAACGAAACGGGCGCGGUGAAUAUCCGCGUUCAAUGACGGUACUCACAGAAGAAGCACCGGCUAACUACGUGCCAGCAGCCGCGGUAAUACGUAGGGUGCGAGCGUUAAUCGGAAUUACUGGGCGUAAAGCGUGCGCAGGCGG